AACGAACGCUGGCGGCAGGCCUAACACAUGCAAGUCGAGCGAGGACUUCGGUCCUAGCGGCGGACGGGUGAGUAACGCGUGGGAACGUGCCCUUUGCUUCGGAAUAGCUCUGGGAAACUGGGAGUAAUACCGGAUGAGCCCUUAGGGGGAAAGAUUUAUUGGCGAAGGAUCGGCCCGCGUUGGAUUAGGUAGUUGGUGGGGUAAUGGCCUACCAAGCCGACGAUCCAUAGCUGGUUUGAGAGGAUGAUCAGCCACACUGGAACUAAGACACGGCCCAGACUCCUACGGGAGGCAGCAGUGGGGAAUCUUAGACAAUGGGGGAAACCCUGAUCUAGCCAUGCCGCGUGAGCGAUGAAGGCCUUAGGGUUGUAAAGCUCUUUCAGCUGGGAAGAUAAUGACGGUACCAGCAGAAGAAGCCCCGGCUAACUCCGUG
rnacentral:rRNA from 1 species